AGUGAACGCUGGCGGUAGGCCUAACACAUGCAAGUCGAACGGCAGCACAGUAAGAGCUUGCUCUUACGGGUGGCGAGUGGCUGACGGGUGAGGAAUACAUCGGAAUCUACUUUUUCGUGGGGGAUAACGUAGGGAAACUUACGCUAAUACCGCAUACGACCUACGGGUGAAGGCAGGGGAUCUUCGGACCUUGCGCGAUUGAAUGAGCCGAUGUCGGAUUAGCUAGUUGGCGGGGUAAAGGCCCACCAAGGCGACGAUCCGUAGCUGGUCUGAGAGGAUGAUAAGCCACACUGGAACGGAGACACGGUCCAGACUCCUAAGGGAGGCAGCAGUGGGGAAUAUUGGACAAUGGGCGCAAGCCUGAUCCAGCCAUACCGCGUGGGUGAAGAAGGCCUUCGGGUUGUAAAGCCCUUUUGUUGGGAAAGAAAAGCAGCAGGUUAAUACCCCGCUGUUCUGACGGUACCCAAAGAAUAAGCACCGGCUAACUUCGUG
rnacentral:rRNA from 1 species